rnacentral:rRNA from 1 species
AUGCAUGAAGAUACAUGUUGCAUGAUCGAGUACCAAGUGCACCGCCUCGCUACCAAGCGCAACAUCAAUAAGUACCCCAUGGUGUUCAACCCCGGAGAUCUUGUGUGGCUACACCUACGCAAAGACCGCUUCCCCAACGAGCGCAAGUCCAAACUCCUACCUCGAUCCGAUGGACCAUUCAAGGUGCUAGCACGCUACAACAACAAUGCAUACAAGAUCGACCUCCCGCGAGACAAGUACAACAUGAACGACAUAUUCGACAUAUUCAACGUCAAGGAUCUAUCUUCCUUCCAUGGUGAUGAAGUUUUUGAUCCGAGGACGGAUCUUUCCCAAGGGGGCAGAUGA